AUGGGUGGCCGUGCAACCUCAGGAUGUGUGUGAAGGAUGCUGGGAGCAACACGAAUGACAAGAGAAUAAAAAGCUUUCAGUGCACCCUGUGAGUGGAAAGCUCUGUGUACUCGGGACAGGGCCUGAUCCCGAGGAAGGAGACGCUUUUUUGGGGAUGUCAGCACACCAAACCUGCUGGUGCUGCUGGGAAAUGCCGGCUGUUAUCCUCAGCUCCAGACUGCACCUCAUCCCCAGGGUCCUAAGACAAGCUUAGGAAGAGGAGAAGAUCCAGCUCAAGUAAUUUUCACUGGUCCUGCCUGGGAAAUUGAUGAGAGGAAAGCGAACAGACAGGGAUGGAGAUCCAACUGUUGCACUGAGACCCCGGCCCCCAAAUCUGCUCAGCUUCCCCCUGCAUCCUGCACUCCCCUUGAGACCAGGCGCUCCCUCUCACACCACAUCCCCUAGGCUGAUGAUAUAGACUGUGGUUUUUAUGGAAGAACUCAGUUUUUUCUCCCAGUGGUCUGCACUGACAGUGAGCUGCAGAUGCAGGAGAUAACCAUGUCUUGUUCUUGACGGUUUAUGUGUGAAAAGUGCAAAUAAAUAAUUCGGAACUCGUGGAAUGGGCUCUUCUCUUGGA